UACGUAGGGGGCUAGCGUUGUCCGGAAUCAUUGGGCGUAAAGCGCGUGUAGGCGGCCCGAUAAGUCCGCUGUGAAAGUCCAGGGCUCAACCCUGGGAUGCCGGUGGAUACUGUCGGGCUCGAGUCCGGAAGAGGCGAGUGGAAUUCCUGGUGUAGCGGUGAAUGACGCAGAUAUCAGGAGGAACACCAAUGGCGAAGGCAGCUCGCUGGGACGUGACUGACGCUGAGACGCGAAAGCGUGGGGAGCAAACAGG
rnacentral:rRNA from 1 species